rnacentral:lncRNA from 1 species
GUAGACCAAUAGUACAGAAUAGAGGACACAGAGAAUAAUGCACAAAAUUACAAUUAUCUUAUAUUAGACAAAGGUGCCAAAAACAUUCACUGGAGAAAAGAUAGCGUCUUCAACAAAUGGUGCUGAGAAAACUGGAAAUCCAUAUGCAACAAAAUGAAAUUAAACUCAUAUCUCUCACCAUGCACAAAACUUAACUCAAAAUGAAUCAAGGACUUAGGAAUUAAACCAGAGACUGCAUCUAAUGAAAGAAAAAGUAAGCCCUAAUCUUCAUCAUGUGGGAUUAGGCUCCAACUUCCUUAAUAAGACUUCUAUAGCACAAGAAUUAAAACCAAGAACCAGUAAAUGGGAUGAAAUGAAACUAAAAAGCUUCGUCUCAGCAAAAGAAACAAUCUGUGAGGUAAACAGAAAGACUACAUCCUGGGAGCAAAUCUUUACCCCUCACACAUCAGAUAGAGCACUAAUCUUUAGGAUAUAUAAAGAACUGAAAAAGCCAAGCACCAAAACAAACAAACAAACAAAAAAUAACCCAAUCAACAAAUGGGCCAAGGACCUGAACAGACACUUCUCAGAAGAGGAUAUACAAUGCUCAUCAUCUCUAUCAGAGAAAUGCAAAUCAAAACUACUCUAAGAUAUCAUCUCACUCCAGUCAGAAUGACAGCUAUUAUGAAGAGAAACAACAAUAAGUGUUGGUGAGGAUGUGGGGGGGAAAAUGUACACUCAUACAUUGCAGGUGGAAGUGCAAAUUGGUGCGGCCAAUAUGACAACAGUAUGGAGAUUUCUUUGAACACUGGGAAUGGAGCCACCAUUUGAC